ACACUCCUGCGGGAGGCAGCAGUGGGGAAUUUUGGACAAUGGGCGAAAGCCUGAUCCAGCAAUGCCGCGUGUGUGAAGAAGGCCUUCGGGUUGUAAAGCACUUUUGUCCGGAAAGAAAUCCUUGGCUCUAAUACAGUCGAGGGAUGACGGUACCGGAAGAAUAAGCACCGGCUAACUACGUGCCAGCAGCCGCGGUAAUACGUAGGGUGCGAGCGUUAAUCGGAAUUACUGGGCGUAAAGCGUGCGCAGGCGGUUUGCUAAGACCGAUGUGAAAUCCCCGGGCUCAACCUGGGAACUGCAUUGGUGACUGGCAGGCUAUAGUAUGGCAGAGGGGGGUAGAAUUCCACGUGUAGCAGUGAAAUGCGUAGAGAUGUGGAGGAAUACCGAUGGCGAAGGCAGCCCCCUGGGCCAAUACUGACGCUCAUGCACGAAAGCGUGGGGAGCAAACAGGAGUAGAUACCCCGGUAGUCCCAUGA
rnacentral:rRNA from 1 species